UAUCGGCGAAACGCGUUUUAGCUUUUAAAGUGAACCCAUAUAUAAUUUUUUAGGUCACAUACUUUUAUAUUGUAUUGGUAUUUUACUGUUUUUUAUUUUCUAGCUAUUACAGUGUAAUUAUAAUUUUAUUUUAUAAUAAAUUUGUUCCCAUUUCUUCAAUUCAUCCAUUGCAUCCUGUAUAAGUGAUUGAAAGGGAGGGGCAGUGUCACCCCAAAAUUUGACACUGGGCAAAUAUACUUAGAGCCGG